AGGGUUUGAUCCUGGCUCAGAAUGAACGCUGGCGGCGUGGAUUAGGCAUGCAAGUCGAACGCGAAAGGGAAUCUUCGGAAUCCCUAGUAGAGUGGCGAACUGGUGAGUAACGCUUGGRGRACCURCCCUUGAGUGGGGWACAUGYCCGAAAGRCGUAAAUCCCGCAUAACAUCUYYYGCUCRCAUGUGYGRRAGAUCAAAGGUGCCCUCUGUUUCAUGGUGCCGCUUGAGGAUGGCYCCGAGUCCUAUUAGCUUGUUGGUGRGGUAACGGCYCACCAAGGCGAUGAUGGGUAGCUGGCCUGAGAGGGUGGUCAGCCACACUGGGAUUGAGAUACUGCCCAGACUCCUAAGGGAGGCAGCAGUCGAGAGGCAUCUGCAAUGGGCGAAAGCCCGACAGUGCGACGCCGCRUGGACGAUGAAGGCCUUCGGGUYGUAAAGUCCUGUCACAGGGGGGAGAACAACACCCAACCGAAUAGGCUGGGUGCCUGACGUUGCCCCUGGAGAAAGACCCGGCUAACUCCGUGCCAGCAGCCGCGGUAAUACGGAGGGGUCGAGCGUUAUUCGGAUUCACUGGGCGUAAAGGGCGCGUAGGCGGGGUCGUGGGUCGAUCGUGAAAUCCACCGGCUCAACCGGUGAACUGCGGUCGAAACUACGACUCUUGAGCUCGGUAGAGGAAGGCGGAAUUCCUGGUGUAGCGGUGGAAUGCGUAGAUAUCAGGAAGAACACCGGUAGCGAAGGCGGCCUUCUGGGCCGUAGCUGACGCUGAGGCGCGAAAGCCGGGGGAGCGAACAGGAUUAGAUACCCUGGUAGUCCCGGCCGUAAACGAUGGGUACUAGGUGUAGGGGGUACUGACCCCCCCUGUGCCGCAGUUAACGCAUUAAGUACCCCGCCUGGGGAGUACGCGCGCAAGCGUGAAACUCAAAGGAAUUGACGGGGCCCCGCACAAGCGGUGGAGCAUGUGGAUCAAUUCGACGCAACGCGAAGAACCUUACCGGGGUUUGACAUGUACCGGACCGGCAUGGAAACAUGCCUUCCCUUCGGGGCCGGUGCACAGGUGCUGCAUGGCUGUCGUCAGCUCGUGUCGUGAGAUGUUGGGUUAAGUCCCGCAACGAGCGCAACCCUCGUCGCCUGUUGCCAUCAGGUUAUGCUGGGCACUCUGGCGAGACUGCCCGCGAUAUGCGGGAGGAAGGCGGGGAUGACGUCAAGUCCUCAUGGUCCUUACAUCCCGGGCUUCACACGUGCUACAAUGGCCGGUACAAAGGGUUGCAAUACCGCGAGGUGGAGCCAAUCCCAAAAAGCCGGUCUCAGUUCGGAUUGGAGUCUGCAACUCGACUCCAUGGAAGUCGGGAAUCGCUAGUAAUCGCGGGAUCAGCAUGCCGCGGUGAAUACGUUCCCGGGGCUUGUACACACCGCCCGUCAAGCCACGAAAGCUGGUAGUACUCGAAGUCGCUGAGCCAACCCGCAAGGGAAGCAGGUGCCGAAGGUAAGACCAGCGAUUGGGGCUAAGUCGUAACAAGGUAGCCGUACCGGAAGGUGUGGCUGGAUCACCUCCUUUCU
rnacentral:rRNA from 1 species